GAGGCAGGUUAGAUGUUAUCAUUUAAAAAUAAAUUGGAUAGGUAUAUGGAUGGGAAAGGAAUGGAGGGUUAUGGUCUGGGUGCAGGUAGAUGGGACACGGCGAGAGUAAGAGAUAGGCACGGACUGGAAGGGCCGAGAUUGCCUGUUUCCGUGCUGUAAUUGUUAUAUGGGUAUAUGGUUAUAGAAGUCAAUGUUUAUACCGCCGGAUUGCAACAUUCCGAAGCGAAAUAUGUGGUGCUGUUCGUCCAAAUUGCGCUGGGACUCAUCCUGACAAUGAACGAGGUCCAGAACAGAAAAGUCAGAUUGGGAAUGAGAGGGGUAGUUAAAGUGAUGAGCAACUGGGAGAUCAGGUAUGUUGAAGCGGACUGAGCGGAUGCGUUCAGCGAAACGAUCGCCGGGCCUGCGCUUGGUCUCUCCGAUGUACAGAACUUGACAGAUGGAACAGCAGGUACAGU